CACAGAAGAGUUUGCCACACUGUC
rnacentral:siRNA from 1 species